rnacentral:rRNA from 1 species
GAUGAACGCUGGCGGCGUGCCUAAUACAUGCAAGUCGAGCGAACAGACGAGGAGCUUGCUCCUCUGACGUUAGCGGCGGACGGGUGAGUAACACGUGGAUAACCUACCUAUAAGACUGGGAUAACUUCGGGAAACCGGAGCUAAUACCGGAUAAUAUAUUGAACCGCAUGGUUCAAUAGUGAAAGACGGUUUUGCUGUCGCUUAUAGAUGGAUCCGCGCCGCAUUAGCUAGUUGGUGGGGUAACGGCUUACCAAGGCGACGAUGCGUAGCCGACCUGAGAGGGUGACCGGCCAAAGGGGGACUGAGAGACGGCCCAGACUGGUAUGGGAGGCAGCAGUGGGGAAUAUUGAACAAUGGGAGGAAGCAAGAUGCAGAAACGCCGCGUGCGGGAUGAAGGCCGUCGGGUGGUAAACAGAGUUCGACGGUGACGAAGCGGGAGUGACGGUAAUGGGUAAAGAAGCACAGGCUAACUACGUG